rnacentral:misc_RNA from 1 species
GUAGAGUCGGCUAAAUAUAUCAUGCUUAAAAACUGCUUUAAUUUCUUUAUUUAAAGUGUGACUAUAGCUUCAGUUCAAAUAAAAAAGAUACUAGAGUUUUAAAGUGAAAGCCAAGGGAAGCUCAUUUUUCCUUCACAAUUUCCUACAGAGGCAUUCGGAUAGAUAUGCAUAACAUGACAUUACAAGAAAGAACAGGGAUAAAAAUGUGCAGGACCAUGUUCACCUUGCAAAAGUAGCGAAAUCCUGUACUAAAUCGGGCAGCGGGUUGAGUUGAACUGAAUACACGUGAUAGACAUUAACAAACUCUUUGUUGCACUUACCAAUAACACUUGUGCAAGAGAAAUGCUCCAACAUAACAAUACUAACUGCCACACUCUUGCACUCGCAGUGAAUCACAUAGUUUAACGCUCUCACUUUACCUCACACUGAAUCUCUUGGAGCCUAAGGCCAAAUUGCAGACCUACCAGAGGUCGACGUUGGUCAUGGAAGAAGCUUUCCCCUUGUCAGCAAACAAUUAGAUAUUUCGAUUGACAGAUGUGAAUAAACAGAAUCGCUAGGAAGAUAGAAAUAUGAGGAGAUUCUAAUGAGGAGAUUCUAGAGAGGAAGGAAGUGGGUAAUUUUCACACAGCAAGUAGGGUUGAAAUUCUGAAAAAUUACAAGGUUUCAUAUUCUCACUCAGCAAGUAUCAUCUUUAAUUAUUGCAGAAAUAGUGGAUUCUUCACAUCAAACAGUGCUAUUACAAUCUCAAAAUGAACAGGGAGGGAACUUCAAGUCCAAAGGGUCUAAAGUUGGGAGAGAAGUUCAACCGACUCUUGGCGUGGACUGCACAAAGCAACCAAGGGCUUAGCCUUAGAAAGCGAGAUUCUAUAAUUGUAGCUCAUGUCCACUUUCUCUAACCCAUCCUUUUCCCAUUCAAAGCACUGAAUAAGCACACCCAAUGCCAAUGAAACCAUGCGCAUGCCCAUGCCAGCACCGGGACAUGCUCUCCUCCCUGCACCAAAAGGAAUAUACUUGAAGCCAUGUUGUUCCCCUAAAUGUCCCUCAAAUCUUUCAGGCUUGAACUCAUUGGGAUCCUCCCAAACUUUGGGGUCCCUAUGCAUCGCCCAAACAUUCACCAACAGUAUUGUGUCCCUUGGGAUCUCAAAUUCUCCGACUGUGCAACUUUCAGAUGACAAAUGAGGUAACAUAAGGGGUCCUGCAGGAUAUAAUCUAAGUGUCUCAUUUAUGACACACCGGAGGUAGGGAAGCUUGACAAGAUCCAAAUCAUUCAGCAAUUGCCCAUGUCCAACAUGGUGAUCAAUCUCUGCUUUCACUCUCUGUAAUGCGUCUGGAUUAUCCAAGAGGAGUGACAUUACCCAUUCCAAAGUGACUGCUGAUGUUUCUGCUCCGGCGAUGAACAUCAUCACCAUAAUACUUUUGAUAACUUCGUCUGUGUAAAAUUCAGGUUCUAAUUCUUGCAGGGACAGUAGAGUUUCAACCAGAGACCUUUUCUCUUCCUCAUCUGAUGUUUUGGAAUUGAUUCUCUUUAGUUUAACUUCGUCUAACAAAUUUUGCAAAAAUUUAUCUCUCAUGUUAUUCAUCUUUAUCAUGCUCUUCUCUAUCCCUUUGAAACCAAUCAUCCUCAAGACUGGGAUAAAAUCACAGAUAUUCAAGGAGAGGCUUGGAAAGAACGUCUCCUUGAAUUCUCGAAAUAAUUGCUUCUCCAACUCUGAAUCCUCAGUCUCCACUUCCACACAACGUUUUCCGACGGUCAUUCUCAUCAUCACAUUGCAGGUUAGAAGAGAAAAUAGAAACUUCAAAUCCACCUUUCGCUUGCCACCAGCUGAGACCCUAAACAGUCGGCAGAGUAGCAUACCAACUUCAUCCUCACGGAUGGCAGAAGUUUUCUGGAGGCUCUUCGAACAGAAGACUUCAACAACAGUGAGUCGCCGUAGGAUCCGCCAAAAAUCACCGUAAGGUGCCCAAACAAAGGCAGAAUAGUUGUAGGUGAAAUGAUCCCCAGCCAUGGACUGGGGUCGGUUUGCAAAUAUUAUAUCAUUCUUGGUUAAGCAUUCUUCAACUGCGGAUGGUGAAGAAACUACAAGAACAGAUCGGGAACCAAAUUUUAGGGAUAGAAUUGGACCGUAUUGUGACAGGAGAGUCUGUAGCGCCAGGGGAAGUGGCUUCCGGAUGAGGUGGAGGUGCCCAAGAACUGGAAGAGCAAGUGGACCGGGAGGUAAAUUUUGCUUCCGAUGGAACAAGAUUUUUUUAAGCAAGAAAACGACGAGCAAGAGAGCAAGGUAAUAGUUCAUGCUUUCCAUUGAAAAGCAGAAAAACGAUAAACCCAGAGAGGAAACGAAAGGUUCAUCCAAAUCAACAACCAAUCCAAUCUAACUCUCCAUAUUUUAUCCUAAUGGUUACAGAAACUAUGAAAGACUAAGUUCCUUUUAUCCGCG